rnacentral:rRNA from 1 species
UACGGAGGGUGCAAGCGUUAUCCGGAUUCACUGGGUUUAAAGGGUGCGUAGGAGGGCGGGUAAGUCAGUGGUGAAAUCUCCGAGCUUAACUUGGAAACUGCCGUUGAUACUAUCUGUCUUGAAUAUUGUGGAGGUGAGCGGAAUAUGUCAUGUAGCGGUGAAAUGCUUAGUUAUGACAUAGAACACCAAUUGCGAAGGCAGCUCGCUACACAUAUAUUGACGCUGAGGCACGAAAGCGUGGGGAUCAAACAGG